rnacentral:rRNA from 1 species
CUAUUACAUGCAGUCGACGCGCGGAUCAGGAGCUUGCUCCUGUGACGCGAGUGGCGGACGGGUGAGUAACACGUAGGCAACCUGCCCAUCAGACUGGGAUAACCACGGGAAACCGUGGCUAAUACCGGAUAAUCCUUUUCCACACAGGUGGAAAAGUUGAAAGGCGGUCUUUUGGCUGUCACUGAUGGAUGGGCCUGCGGCGCAUUAGCUGGUUGGUGGGGUAACGGCCCACCAAGGCGACGAUGCGUAGCCGACCUGAGAGGGUGAUCGGCCACACUGGGACUGAGACACGGCCCAGACUCCUACGGGAGGCAGCAGUAGGGAAUCUUCCGCAAUGGACGAAAGUCUGACGGAGCAACGCCGCGUGAGUGAAGAAGGGUUUCGGCUCGUAAAACUCUGUUGUCAGGGAAGAACGCCGACGGGAGUAACUGCCUGUCGGGUGACGGUACCUGACCAGAAAGCCACGGCUAACUACGUGCCAGCAGCCGCGGUAAUACGUAGGUGGCAAGCGUUAUCCGGAAUUAUUGGGCGUAAAGCGCGCGUAGGCGGUUCGUUAAGUCUGAUGUGAAAGCCCCCGGCUCAACCGGGGAGGGUCAUUGGAAACUGGCGGACUUGAGUGCAGAAGAGGAGAGUGGAAUUCCAUGUGUAGCGGUGAAAUGCGCAGAGAUAUGGAGGAACACCAGUGGCGAAGGCGGCUCUCUGGUCUGCAACUGACGCUGAGGUGCGAAAGCGUGGGGAUCAAACAGGAUU